GACGAACGCUGGCGGCGUGCUUAACACAUGCAAGUCGAACGGUAAGGCCCUGCUUUUGUGGGGUGCUCGAGUGGCGAACGGGUGAGUAACACGUGAGUAACCUGCCCUUGACUUUGGGAUAACUUCAGGAAACGGGGGCUAAUACCGGAUAUGAGCUCCUGCUGCAUGGGGGGGGUGGGAAAGGUUCUGCGGUUGGGGAUGGACUCGCGGCUUAUCAGCUUGUUGGUGGGGUAGUGGCUUACCAAGGCUUUGCCGGGUAGCCGGCCUGAGAGGGUGACCGGCCACAUUGGGACUGAGCUCCGGCCCAGGGUCCUACGGGAGGCAGCAGUGGGGAAUGUUGCACAAUGGGCGGAAGCCUGAUGCAGCAACGCCGCGUGCGGGAUGACGGCCUUCGGGUUGUAAACCGCUUUCGCCUGUGACGAAGCGUGAGUGACGGUAAUGGGUAAAGAAGCACCGGCUAACUACGUG
rnacentral:rRNA from 1 species